GAAAUGCGAUAAGUAAUGUGAAUUGCAGAAUUCAGUGAAUCAUCGAAUCUUUGAACGCACAUUGCGCCCGCCAGUAUUCUGGCGGGCAUGCCUGUUCGAGCGUCAUUUCAACCCCUCAAGCCCUGCGCUUGGUGCUGGGGCCCUGUGGCUGCCCGCAGGCCCCGAAAACCAGUGGCGGGCUCGCUAGUCACACCGAGCGCAGUAGCACAUCUCGCUCAGGGCGUGCGGCGGGUCCCUGCCGUGAAAACACCCCCAACUUCCAAAGGUUGACCUCGGAUCAGGUAGGAAUACCCGCUGAACUUAAGC
rnacentral:misc_RNA from 1 species